AGGUCUGCCUCACCACAUCUAACUACUUGUUUGAUUUGAAAACCCAUAUUCACUCACAUGGACAUGUACAGACAAUGAUUGAUGUCUUCCAGCAAGAUAUGUUCAAGGGUCAUGGCAUCUUUCCCUGCAUUGAGUUGAUCAAGUCGCGAGUCAGACGUGAAAUCCCAUGGCCCAUCAUAGGUCAGUAAAGUAUCUCUAAGUU